rnacentral:tRNA from 1 species
GCGAACGUAGUUCAGUGGUAGAACAUCACUUGCCAAGGUGAGGUCGCGGGUUCGAACCCGUCGUUCGCU